UGGGGAAUCUUGCGCAAUGGGCGAAAGCCUGACGCAGCCAUGCCGCGUGAAUGAUGAAGGUCUUAGGAUUGUAAAAUUCUUUCACCGGGGACGAUAAUGACGGUACCCGGAGAAGAAGCCCCGGCUAACUUCGUGCCAGCAGCCGCGGUAAUACGAAGGGGGCUAGCGUUGCUCGGAAUUACUGGGCGUAAAGGGAGCGUAGGCGGAUAGUUUAGUCAGAGGUGAAAGCCCAGGGCUCAACCUUGGAAUUGCCUUUGAUACUGGCUAUCUUGAGUAUGGGAGAGGUGUGUGGAACUCCGAGUGUAGAGGUGAAAUUCGUAGAUAUUCGGAAGAACACCAGUGGCGAAGGCGACACACUGGCCCAUUACUGACGCUGAGGCUCGAAAGCGUGGGGAGCAAACA
rnacentral:rRNA from 1 species